UACGUAGGGUGCAAGCGUUAAUCGGAAUUACUGGGCGUAAAGCGUGCGCAGGCGGCUUUGCAAGACAGAUGUGAAAUCCCCGGGCUCAACCUGGGAAUGGCCGUUGAAACUGGCGAACUGGAGUGUGGCAGAGGGGGGGUGGAAUUCCGCGUGUAGCAGUGAAAUGCGUAGAGAUGCGGAGGAACACCGAUGGCGAAGGCAGCCCCCCUGGGCUGACACUGACGCUCAGGCACGAAAGCGUGGGGAGCAAACAGG
rnacentral:rRNA from 1 species